CUUCUCCUAAAGACUAAGCCAUGCAUGCCUUCGAAUAAGAGGAAGCAAUUCUCUCUGAAUCUGCGAACGGCUCCGCAAACCAGUUGUAAACUAUAGCAAGCAAGCCCGGGGUUGGCCUUCACGGGCUGGCUUCGGGCAAUACGGAUAACCCUGGUAAUUCUGAGGCUAAUACGAGAAAGUACACCCUGGCUAACCGGCCUCGGCUGGAAGGCUGGGAAACGUGCGAUAUCGUUGCGAGGAUGCACCGGGAAAGGACGCACGUUUGGACCGCGCUACAAAGGAUGCCACGCUAGACCUUCGGGCGAGGCGGGGUGCCCCAGCGGCUCUUGCGGUGUGCUUCUGACCUAUCAACUAGACGGCAGCGUAACGGACAUGCUAUGGUGACAACGGGUACAGAGGAUAAGGGUUCGAUCCUGGAGAGUGGGCCUGAGAGAUUGCUCAUAUUCUAAGGAAGGCAGCAGGCGCAACGUUCCCCUUGUGCAAUAUGAGGGCGUUAGGGGACAUAUGAAUGCCUGCCCAAUGGGUGGGCAAUUCAAAUGGGUCUGUUGUAAACAGGCUCUCGAGUAACAAUUAGAGGACAAGUCUGGUGCCAGCACCCGCGAGAAACACGCCGCGGGGAUAGCUUCUAAGGAAGGAAGGCUAGUCGGGUCGACUCCAGCUAGCUACUGGGGAAGACCUGGCGACACUGCCAAAUUGCGGGGACAUCCUGAGAGCCUCACCCACCAAGCCUACCCUCGAAAGGGGGUAGGUGGCCCGGCUAAUCACCUGGGGUACGGUAACAGCGGUGAGGAUUGGACUAUCUGCAGCCAAGCCCGCAACGGGAGCACUAGUAAGGUCGGGGGGGACCCCACCAGAAUCCUGCUCUCAGGGUGCAGUUCAGAGACUAAACGGUAGUGGGUGGUCGAACCUCAGUAUCAAUGCGCCCCGGGGCGCGAGAAAGGGUAAAGGCUGCUUAAGAUAUAGUCCAGCUCCCCUCCUAAUAGUGGGGAUACAGUCGGUAAUUCCAGCUCUAAUAGCAUACGUUAAAGUUGUUGCGGUUAAAACGCUCGUAGUCGGCUUCAGACCAUCAGAAACCUGAGCUGGGAACCUUGAUCAGCUGCUCUUCGGGGCACAUCGAGCAACUGGCAAGGGUAGGCGGUGGUCAAGUGUAUCUCAGGCUGUACUCCCUCGUGGAGCUCACAGGGCUCAGCCUCUUUCGGGGGGCUGGGUUCGGCUUGGGGUGCCAUUUACCAUGACCAAACUGGUGUGAUUAAAGCAGGUCGUUCGACCUUGCACAGCACAGCAUGGCAUAAAUCUAACUGGUUCAGUCCUUCUCGCAGGGACUGGGCUGGUAGAAGCGAUAGGGGUGUUCGAGGGUGACCGAAUUGCUGGGCGAGUGGUGAAAUACGUUGACCCUAGCAAGUCGACCAAAGGCGAAAGCA
rnacentral:rRNA from 1 species